GUGGUGUUUGGAUCGUCCCUGCCGGCUGGCUCCGUGCCCGCCCACCGAACGGUCGGCAGGCGAUCCGCGUCGGUCAGGCGAGGUGGUAUGGCUCCCCAGAGGCCGGUUCUUGUGCUGCCUACCCCUUCAGGGGAAGCGGGCCAGUUUCUAUGUAAGCCUCCAUCCGGCGCCCUCCAACGGGCGCAGGAGGACAACGGAGCACCCCCCGCGUUCCACCGAGCCUCAUCCGGUCGCGUGGCGCGCGGGGACGUGCGAUGCUCUCGGACCCAGCGAACGCCGUGGGCGAGGACUCACGUCCCAGUCCCUAUAGAAGCUCCGACAAAAUGCAAGACGGCCGCUCCCGACCCCCGACCGCCCCGGCGGCUCGGGGGCGAGGCGCGGCGUCGCGGAGGAAUGCUACCUGGUUGAUCCUGCCAGUAGUCAUAUGCUUGUCUCAAAGAUUAAGCCAUGCAUGUGUA
rnacentral:misc_RNA from 1 species